rnacentral:rRNA from 1 species
UACGUAGGGUGCGAGCGUUAAUCGGAAUUACUGGGCGUAAGGCGUGCGCAGGCGGUUUUGCAAGCCGGAUGUGAAAUCCCGGGCUUAACCUGGGAAUGGCAUUUGGGACUGCAAGGCUGGAGUGCGGCAGAGGAGACUGGAAUUCCUGGUGUAGCAGUGAAAUGCGUAGAUAUCAGGAGGAACACCGAUGGCGAAGGCAGGUCUCUGGGCUGACACUGACGCUCAUGCACGAAAGCGUGGGGAGCAAACAGG